rnacentral:tRNA from 1 species
GGAGGUAGCUCAAUGGUAAAGUGCUUGCUUAGCAUGUGCAAAGCCCAGGGUUCAAUCCCCAGCACCA